rnacentral:rRNA from 1 species
AGGACGAACGCUGGCGGCGUGCUUAACACAUGCAAGUCAAGGGGGCCCAGCAAUGGGCAACCGGCGAACGGGUGCGUAACACGUGAGCAACCUACCGAAAUGUGGGGGAUAGCCGGCCUAACGGCCGAGUAAUACCGCAUACGCUCUCGAUGAGGCAUUUCAUUGAGAGGAAACCUACGGGACAUUUCGAGGGGCUCGCGGCCUAUCAGCUAGUUGGCGAGGUAACGGCUCACCAAGGCAACGACGGGUAGCUGGU